rnacentral:tRNA from 2 species
GGGCCGUUAGCUCAGCUGGCAGAGCAGCUGACUCUUAAUCAGCGGGUCCGGAGUUCGAUCCUCCGACGGCCCA